rnacentral:sRNA from 1 species
ACGUUUUUUUCAUAGAGAUUUAGAUUUAAGGUUAGAAGAAUUGUGGAAGUCGUGAGACUUCCCUUUUUUUCAUCUUAAAGUUUGCUUUCUUUUUGAGCUAAAGCAUAAAAAGAAAGUAAACCCAAAAAGCCGCUUCGUGAGAAGAGGCUUUUUU